rnacentral:lncRNA from 1 species
GGUUGGACAGGAAUGAAAAGAGAACAUAGAGAUGAGACCAGAAAUGUGGACCUGCUGACCUUGGUAUUGUGGGAUCCUGACACAUACAUUCUCCAGAUUCACUGAGCUAUCACUGGGUGGGCUCUGAGGAGGUUCCUAUGAGGAAAAUAGGGACCUCAGCUUGCCGCCACCACCCACAGAGUAGGCUCAUAGAAUUUCAUCGCAGAAAAGAAUUCAUGACAUACCAAUGAGAAGCAGAAUUAAAUGUGUAUAUGCUCAAAGGAGAACAAUUCUGUGAGAUAUGCACUUCUACUAUCUGCAUUUCGAAGACACAGAAACUGAAGUGUGGAGAGAUGAAUCUGUUUGCCAGAGCAGAGAAUAAGAAAGCUCAGAGAGAAGGAGCAGAAUUAGGAGGAACACUCUCAGGAAAGAAAUCCUAAGAAUUCACAAAGAAUUCAAACAACAGGACUCCCCUGCACCUUAUUAGAACUGUGCUCCCUGCCUACCAUCCAUCUCACAGUAACAGCAACCUCAUUUUGCUUCUUCUUGUGUCCCAUGAGGAAUUCUGUGAUAGCCUGGCCGAUUCUUCAGAAAGCUGCCUCUGUCAUUGGAUCAAGAGGUAAAAGUGGUAAACAUAGAAAACAACUGAAGAUAUUCCAAAGGAACACCCAGUAUGGCGAUUAGGAGACAGAACUUUGGAAACCGCACACUCUGGACUAACUCCCAGCUCUUCACCUCUUAGCUGUAUGAUCUUACGAAGUUGCAUAUUUAGACUCAGGUGAAUCAUCUAUAAAAUGGGGACAAUAAUUCCUAUCUCACAAUAUUAUGAAUAACGAAAAACUCAAUAAAAUGAGUUCAUAUGCAUAAAGUACUUAAAACUGUUUCCAGCAUAUUGAUAAUGCC